rnacentral:rRNA from 1 species
AUUUUUUCUCUUAGGUGACCUCGGAUCAGGUGGGAACCACACCCCC